GUGGAUGUGCCGGAGUGGUUAUCGGGCAUGACUAGAAAUUUUGUGGACUCUGCCCGCGCAGGUUCGAUCCUGCCGUUCACG
rnacentral:tRNA from 1 species